rnacentral:rRNA from 1 species
AGCGAACGUUAGCGGCGGGCCUAACACAUGCAAGUCGAACGCGAAAGGUCUUCGGACUGAGUAGAGUGGCGCACGGGUGAGUAACACGUAGGUAAUCUACCCUUUGGCGGGGGAUAACGUUCCGAAAGGAGCGCUAAUACCGCAUAAGACCACGGAGUCUCCGGACGCUGUGGGAAAAGGUGGCCUCUUCUUGAAAGCUAUCACCGAAGGAUGAGCCUGCGUCCCAUCAGCUAGUUGGUAAGGUAAUGGCUUACCAAGGCGAAGACGGGUAGCUGGUUUGAGAGAAUGAUCAGCCACACUGGCACUGGAACACGGGCCAGACUCCUACGGGAGGCAGCAGUGAGGAAUAUUGGGCAAUGGGCGAAAGCCUGACCCAGCCACGCCGCGUGAGUGAUGAAGGCCCUCGGGUCGUAAAGCUCUGUGGAGAGGGACGAAAACCCUGGUUUCAAAUAGGCUCCAGGCUUGACGGUACCUCCUUAGCAAGCACCGGCUAACUCUGUGCCAGCA